AUAUAUAUAUAUAUGACAAACCAUUUGCAUUUGGUGAAAUAACCACCAAAUGCAAAUGUGACGACAGCUUUAGGACACUUUUGAGGAAGGAAGUCCCAUCUGGUCUUAGCCAUCUUGGUCUAAUCUAAACUAACUAAUCUAAAGUUAUACAAAAUGAAGACAGUAAAAGAAUAAUGCAGCACAUGUCCAAUUACUACCCGCUUUUACAGAGAUUGUGAACUAUCCCUUUAACAGUCAUCCGCACUUGUGGUUGUCGGUUUAUGUCUGACUUCUGGUGAUUAUAGGAGCAAUUAACUUUAUCCAGGAUCUAAUCUAGCCUGCAGCUGCGGAGCACUUAUAGCUAUUAAACGUUUACGAUGAAGUUGUAGAAGCUAAAAGAAUCGAAACGCGUUUUUUGAAUUUCCUUUUGACACAUAAACCACCUAACUCAAAACAUAAAUAACAAAUGAAAUAAGAAAUGAGCUGCCAACCAGCCAGUAGCGAUGAUCCAAUGUUUCUAUUUUUUUUUCUAGCUAUAACUAUCCUUCAACUUAUAGUUAAUGCGGUUUAAACGACUUGUGCUCUAAAUUUAAUAUGCUGAGCGCGAAUGCAGCGCCACCGCGAUCAGAUCGCUACAAUGCCAAAAUUUGGUACAUAAAAAAAAAAAAUACACAUCACUUUUCUUUAAUCCCUGUAACUUCUUUUCAAACACACUUUUUUUUUUGGCAUUAAAACAUCUCCCUGUCUGUGUUACAUUCAGCUUCCUGUUUCCUCACUUGAGCAGAAAAAGCCGCUAUUUCUUUUCACCAACCAGGAAAUGUUGACAAAACGUGAGCGAAACUAAUAAAAGUGGAGGUAAAUGUACAAAAAAAAAAAAAAAAAGAAUAAAGAAUAAAAACCCAAAUCUCAC